rnacentral:rRNA from 1 species
GUAGAGGUGAAAUUCGUAGAUAUUAGGAAGAACACCAGUGGCGAAGGCGACUCACUGGACAGGUAUUGACGCUGAGGUGCGAAAGCGUGGGGAGCGAACAGGAUUAGAUACCCUGGUAGUCCACGCCGUAAACGAUGGGUGCUAGGUGUUGGGCAGCAUGCUGUUCAGUGCCGAAGCUAACGCGUUAAGCACCCCGCCUGGGGAGUACGGUCGCAAGAUUAAAACUCAAAGGAAUUGACGGGGGCUCUUUACAAACGGUGGAGCAUGUGGUUUAAUCUGAUAAUCCGCGUAAAACCUUACCAGUUCUAACUCGGUGUUGCAUGGCUGUCGUCAGCCCGUGUUGUGAAAUGUAGUGCUUGGGCAUUCAACGGGCAAGACCCUCAAUAAAAUUUU